rnacentral:rRNA from 1 species
AAACGGGCGGUAAUACCCAUAACAUCUCCGGAUCAAAGGUGAGAUUCGCCUGAGGAUUAGUUUACACACUAUUAGCUUGUUGGCGGGGUAAUGGCCCACCAAGGCGACGAUGGUUACCGGGCGUGAGAGCGUGACCCGGAUCACUGGGACUGAGACACUGCCCAGACACCUACGGGUGGCUGCAGUCGAGAAUCUUCGGCAAUGGACGAAAGUCUGACCGAGCGACGCCGCGUGUAUGAUGAAGGUCUUCGGAUUGUAAAGUACUGUCGAUUAGGCGGAAGUGUAAGGGGGUUCUCCUCUUUACUUGACCUAUCAUUGGAGGAAGGACGGGCUAAGUUCGUGC